AAAAAAAGCCUGAUACUCAGACAACGAACACCCAUAUCUUCCACGUGCGGUUGUGUCGUUGGAGCAGAGUUGUGGUUCUCCAGUUCUUCAGAGUUUGAGUGGUAAUUUCAACUUUCCUUUCGUCUCUUCCCCUGUUUGAGCUGUAUGAGUUGCUGAAAUUGCGUCUGAAUUUUGUUUUCAGAAGAAUUAUAAGUAGGCUUUGAUAUGAAACACGAAGCGAUCCCUCGCUCAUAUUUCAACGGCAUUCAUUGAGCAACAUUCCAAGCCUUUGGUUUCCUCGCCUUGAGAAUUUGGAAACUUUGGACCCGAGAGAAAAAAAUGGCGUGAACACGUGGAACACGGCUCGGUUCAUGAGAAGGAUAGAUUCAAUUUCUCCACUCCGUUUCGAGAUAAGCAGUGAAGUCGUCAAGCUUUUUUUCUGUCAGCCUGGUUAAGAGGCCGUUGAGAAUCGAAUGACUAGGAUGACUCCACGGUAGAAGGCGUGAAGACGGGGGCCUCGGGGGGCGUUUACCUGGUGUGGCCACACAGGAUGGUCGUCCACAGCGAGACGAGCAAGCAAAUCUGUCGUGUCCCGGAUGCCACCUUCACUCCAAGACCCAGACUUGCUAGGAUGGGUGACACCCGAACCAUUGCCACCUCAGCUCGACCAUUCAAUGAAGCCCCAGUUUUGGCAGAGACCUGCAGCGGAGACAGAGUCACCAACUGACCCAGCGGCCUAGAUUCCUCCGUGCCAGAAGGUGACUCCCUCAAAGAUUUGUAAGGAGGAGAAUUCUGACGUUCAUGCUUGGGGGGAGACAGAGUGGACUCCAUCUCGCCUACCAAAGGUGAAACCUGCAGGUUAGGUGACUCAUCUUUUGAGCUCUCAGAGAGCUGAUCAGGUUCACUUACCCGUCUUACUGUUUUCUAUAGAAUAUUUUCUGCACCCCUUCCUCUGUUAUUGUCUAAAAACAUGUCCUCACUUGUUGCCUUUUGCUCAAAACUGAUAACAACAGAAAGGACUACUGAUGGGACUUGCUGUGCCUAAUGAGGUUUCUUUUCUCUGCAAAAGUCUUUCCGCAGUCCCCACACUUGAAGCUUGCUGCAUGCUUUUUGUUGAUGUGUCUUUUUAACUUGUUUUCAUGGUCUAAUGUUUCAUUGCAUUCAUUGCCAACGCAUGGAUGACAUCCUUUUUCAUGAUACUUAAGAUCUUUGCUUCUGGAAAAUUCUGUUUGACGAGAAGCACACUUAUUCUUCGUUGCCAUGCCUGUGUCAAGAUCCUCUCUUAUGCUUUUUGCCUUGUCCUUCCAGUACUGUUGAAACAAUAAAUAACAUAAGCUUUUUAAUACAACUACCAUACAAUAUGCUAGCUCAUGGUCAUCAUAGUUAAUGGAGGGAUGUUGUAGAACAAACUGCAAAGUGAAAUUUAAAAAUUUGUAUGAGCGAACCAAGAGCAAACUCUAGAUUCCACUUCACGAAUUUUCUAAACACUACAGACUGUGGGAAACCUAUCAAACUUCAAAAUGAUCUAACAAUUUUGUAUUAUAAUAUUAUGAAGGGUAAAAAAUAGUCAGCUGAAUACCUGAAUUCACAAGAAAAUGCCCCACAUUUUCCCCACCCUCCCCCAAGGUGUGGGGUGCAAUAGAAAACAAAGAAAAUAGAAAAGGUUGGAUGGUUGAACUUUGAUCUUUCAUUCAAUGGACAAACCUUUCUUCUGUCCGCAGGCAAUGUUUUCCACAUUCUGCCAACAACCGUGGAAAUUUUUCCGAUUUCUGCCCCAUCACUCAGCUGUUUCUGUACAUCUGGCUAAAGACAGCAAAAACAAUAACCUCUAAAGUGACUUAAAAAAGAAUUCCAAAGAUUCGCAGUAGGUUGUUGGAUAGUUUACAUUUUCUGUCAACCAAACUCCGAGAGAAAUCGUGUUGGAAAUAUGGUUAAAUGAUGUACAGUCAGUAAAUUUACGAGAAAGCCGAAGAGAUAGAGCAAAUGAGGGAGAGUAUAGAAAUUGUAUACCUUUUUUUAAAAAUAGACUUGCGACAUGGCCGAAAUCUUGAGACUCUCACCACUGUAAAAGAGUUUACUGGUAUGGACUUUCUAAAUUGCAGAUAUUUUAUUUCACGGAUUGCUAUUAGACCUAUUAACUUACCGCAACUGACUGGUAAAAUGCGUUCCAGCCGGUUGGUUUCCGAAUCGAAUGCAUUGUAGGGGGAGGAUUGCGUUGUUGUUGUUCGCACGUGGAUGCUUCUUGUCCCUCCUUAUUGUAAACAUAAAACUCACGUGCGGAUCUCUUGUACAACAGGGAACCCAAAGGCACUCGCGCGUGAUUUCUCGGAGCGUUUUCCGAUCGCCGGAGAUACGAGUAUGACAUCAUAAAUGGGCUAAAAUGACAACGACUGUUUUAAAUGGCAACGACCGUUCUUAAAAUGACAACGACCGUUUCUUCUUUAUCCGCCGCAUUCCCGACGCCUUCGUGUUUCUUCGUGUUCCUUGUGAUAGCCCCCUUCGUCCUCACCGUCUGUGCCCCCCUUGUCAUCUGCAGUGUUGUCGUUUUCCGGUAUCUCUGGUGUGUCUUUCGCCGUCUCACGCUCAGCUUCGGCAAGGAUUGCUCAGCUCUUGCUUUUCUUACGGGGCAUUUUCUGACACUGUGGUUCUCUUCACCACAUGCCCCGCAAGUGAUAACUUGGCCUUUGUGCCAUGUGCGUGCCCGGAAGCCGCACACGUUUAUGAAGGACGGUAUUUUGUCCUUUAUCUCCAUAACCGCAAUGCGGCUUCCAUUUUCUAUGGUCGUGUCCUCGUGAUAUGCCUGCCGUACAUUAAACACUUUCCCAAAUCGUCCCAUGCUUUCUUUUACCCGUUCCGAGUCCAGCUCGGAGGGCAAGUAGUGCAGAUACACAAAGAUGCUGCGUGUACCCACCGGGGCUGCUCUAUAGACUCUGUUGCCUAUCUUAAGGCCAUCUUGCAAAACAUGGGUAGAGAGCAGAUCCGUGAGAGGCGGCAGGGCACAAUAGUAAUGCGAUAAACACAAGCAUAGCGAAAGAUAUAUGAUAUAAAAAGAAUAAUCAGAAAGACUAACUAAAUUAAUAAGCAAUAAAAAUAAAGACGCCAAACGGAUUUCUUACACAGAUUAGCUGCUUCCGCUUUUGGGGUGAGUUGUAAGGCCCUUUUCGCUCUUAGGAUUGAGGUUGAUUCCGGAGGCAAUGGCGGCUGCGCUUUGUUCAUAAUUCCCCUUCACGAUCUAUCUCUUCAUUGUCUGCAUUAUGUACGACUUCGCACUCCUUGUGUCGGGCUCUAUAUAGGCGCGGAUCCCUAUGAUUGAAAUGUGUAAUGUUGCCUUGCGGUGGGUUGGUAGUGAUGUGGGGCACUCGGCUUUGAAUCCCUCUUGAGUCCAGUUUCCUUGGGGUUGUGCCGGCCUUUGUCUCCGCCAGGUUUUUCCCGUGGUUCUUGUAAGACAACAAGGUUUUCCCCUAUGUUGGUUUUAAUGCCUUUUUUCGGGCUUUUAGGCCACUUAUUGGUGACCUGAAGGUUAAGGUUUUGGCACAGCGAUAGAGGUUGGUGGUGGUAAUUUUCCCAGCGUCUCACUCUGGUGAGCGCUUAGGAAAAAAUAACCACCACAAAGUUUUCUUCUGGCUCUAAGAUGGAGAUUUGACUAUUUCUUGUGGCCUUGUUGUAAGUUUGAUUUUGGUAAAAUCAUAGACUUACAUAGCAGACCGGUCAGAAUGUACGCCAUCACUAGCUUGGGGAAAAUGUCUCCUUGCACUUAAAGACGUGAAGGCCUCUUACAUUAAUACUAACCACGUUUAUUUAGCGAGGUUAGAGGCCAAUCUUAUGAUUUAGAGGUGAUUGUCGGGCGGAUCACUGUUGCGUUUCACCUGGUGUGAAAAGUCCGUUUAGUGAGCGUUUUGCUCCCCGCACGUUGUUAUAUUCGGUCUCCAUAGCUUUUUCUAUCUUCUUCCCUCAUGUUUUCCGAGCUCCUCUUCGUUUGUUUCUGUUUCUAUUUUCCAUUUAUUUAUUUAUUCAUUAGUGAUAAUAUUUAAGUGAUAGCUAUUCGACACAGCCAUUAAGGUUAUGUUAGAAUAGAUUGCUCUUAUGCAUCUUAUUAAUUACUGGGGUUUUUUUUUUCGCUUGCUUCCCUCGUCUUUUUGUUCCCAUCAUUUUCCUCACUUUCUCCAAUUCCUUGUGUCCCAUCGACUGUCUGUCGUGUGAUAUCUAUCAUACUGCCGAAUUGGGUUAUUGCACUUUCCAUGACCUUUCCAGCCAACUCGGCAGCCAUGUAAUAUGCCUUAAAGAUUAGUGGCACAGGCUUAUAUAUAAAGCCCAGCUAUUUUAAUGCUGGUGUGGAGAAGGGAAGCCACACGUGCACUGACUUACUCGGCAUAGACUGGGUGCAGCGGACAGACCCUGAUGGCAGAGCGUCCACUAAACUCUUAAUAAAGACAUCUUUAUCCGGUCUCUCCUUGAAAAAUUAAAAAAUUUAAAGGUCCGCCUUUGAAGUACCAUAGUGGAUUGUGGAGCGGCUUCACUAAAUAAAGCCAUGGUUGGUGAGGUAGAUGAUUUUCCUUGGGACGUGUUGUUGCUGAGUGGGGAGCGUCCAAGGAUGUUUAUGGAAGAGCCUUGGAUGCACAUGCAUAAGCAGAACUCUCCCGAAGAGGAGAAUUUACUUGAGCUAUGGUUUGAGGUAAAGUUAGAGAAA